AACAGUUUCUCUUUAUUGGCAGUAGGGACUAUAAAGUCAACGUCUUACAUUAGGUACAGUAUCAGCAGUUUCAUUAGGUACAGUAUCAUUUUCUGUUUAGGUACAGGGCAGUUUAGUGGCAUCUUCCAGCCGCUAACUGUCUAGCCAAGGUAGUACUCUCAAUGUAGUACUCUCAAGGUAGUACAACUCUCAAUGUAGUAUUCUCAAGGUAGUACAACUCUCAACGUAGUACAACUCUCAACGUAGUACUCUCAAGGUAGUACAACUCUCAAGGUAGUACUCUCAAGGUAGUACAACUCUCAAUGUAGUAUUCUCAAGGUAGUACAACUCUCAACGCAGUACUCUCAAGGUAGUACAAUGUAGUGCUCUCAAGGUAGUACAACUCUCAACGCAGUACUCUCAAGGUAGUACAACUCUCAACGUAGUAUUGUCAAGGUAGUACAACUCUCAACGUAGUAUUCUCAAGGAAGUACAAUGUAGUACUCUCAAGGUAGUACAACUCUCAACGUAGUACUCUCAAGGUAGUACAACUCUCAACGUAGUACUCUCAAGGUAGUACAACUCUGCACAACACAGGGUAGUAGAGUAACAUCCAGGAAUAUUCCAUGUACAGUACAGUAAUACAGUCAACAGAACACGUCGGAGCUGUCUAAAGGUCAUAGCAGGGCUUCAGUACUAAACCCUCAGUAAAAAACACCAAAACAAUUACUCAACACAUUGUUUUAGUUUCAGCUAAGUUUUACAUUUUAGUUUUGGUCUGUUUUUUU